GACGAACGCUGGCGGCGUGCUUAACACAUGCAAGUCGAGCGGUAAGGCCCUUUCGGGGGUACACGAGCGGCGAACGGGUGAGUAACACGUGGGUGACCUGCCCUCAGCUCUGGGAUAAGCCUGGGAAACCGGGUCUAAUACUGGAUAUGACUCCAUGACGCAUGUUGUGGGGUGGAAAGCCUUGUGCGGCUGAGGAUGGGCCCGCGGCCUAUCAGCUUGUUGGUGGGGUGANGGCCUACCAAGGCGACGACGGGUAGCUGGUCUGAGAGGAUGUCCAGCCACACUGGGACUGAG
rnacentral:rRNA from 1 species